CAGGGAGACAACAAAAUGUUUAAUAUUAUUAUUUUGUCACCUUAGGUCGAUCGGUAUCUCACGUUCUUUUUUUAUUAAGAAUUUCAUUUCCUAAGUUUUUCUAGGUCACACCCAUUAUUUUUCCUGGGCCAUUAGCUCAGGUGGUUAGAGCGCACCCCUGAUAAGGGUGAGGUCCCUGGUUCAAGUCCAGGAUGGCCCAUAUCUCUAUGUUGGGGGUAUAGCUCAGUUGGUAGAGCGCCUGCUUUGCAAGCAGGAUGUCAGCGGUUCGAGUCCGCUUACCUCCACUGAUUACCACCUCUUCCAUAAUCUUUAGAUAAGGAAAUGUUUUGAGUUGUGAUCUAAUUCUGAACGAAUCUAGCUUCCUAAUGAAAUCAUUAAGAUGCUGGACUCAUUGAAUUAAAUUCAUUGUUUUCAGAGAACCUUGACAACUGCAUAGAUUAUUUUUAAAGACAAUAAGCAUCUUUAAUGAUGCAGAUUUAUUAUUUGUGCUAAUGCAUUAAUAACAAUUCUAUUAAGCUGAUGCUUCAAUUUUGAAGUUAUU
rnacentral:tRNA from 1 species